GAUGAACGCUGGCGGGGUGCCUAAUACAUGCAAGUCGAGCGAAGCGGGGACGGGGGAGUAAAACGUGGAUAAACGCCUAUAAGACUGGGAUAACUUCGGGAAACCGGAGCUAAACCGGAAUCGUAUAGAUGGAACCGCGCUGCAGUAGCUAGUUGGAAAGGUAACGGCUUACCAAGGCAACGAUGCAUAGCCGGCCUGAUAGGGUGAUCGGCCACACUGGAAGUGAGACACGGCCCAUACUCCUACGGUAGGCAGCAGUAGGGAAUCUUCCGCAAGGGGCGAAAGCCGGAAGGAGCAACGCCGCGUGAGUGAUGAAGGUCUUCGGAUUGUAAAACUCUGUUAUUAGGGAAGCGGUAUCUACUCAGAAAGCCACGGCUAACUACGUGCCAGCAGCCGCGGUAAUUC
rnacentral:rRNA from 1 species